CCAAACACGUCGAUACUGAGACCAAAUAAGACAAAUAUACCGGGAUGAUCCGGACACUUAUAUACUAUUGACAUUAACUAGAAUAACUGGUUGUUUGGGGGCUGUGUCCCUGCAAACCAGGGAGCAGAAACUUCGUCAGAUCACAACACUAAACCCAGACUGUUUUUGUUUUGUCCAGUCACGGGAUCUGCUGCGGUGGCAGAGAGCCAAUGAACCAGCCUGGAAAUCGAAAAUACAACCAGGAAAAUGAAACAAACAAAAAUGUAACCGGUAGCUUUCAGAUAACAGUUUCCACCGAAUCCACUGUCGGUGGCGGUUUAAUUAAACCGUAGGAAAGAAACUAGCAAUGGCUGCUUUGAGCAAUAAGGGAGGUAGAAGAUGAAGACAAAGGCAGCCGAAUGAAACAAGACGACAAAUGCUGGAGGCUAUACAAUAAAAUUUGAAGACGACGAAGGAAAUAAUCUUCGGCUGAGGUACACAAAGUUUAUAAAGGCCAGACUGGCAGCUGAAUACCGGCCCACCAGCUCUCUGAUUGGUCGGCUCCUUGUUUAUCACCGUAGACGCCCCGCCCCCAAUGUGCGACCUCAUCUUUGAAAGCACGUGAUUCUCUCCUGGAAAAAAGGACACUACAUACAGACCGGUUUGAAGCAGUUGAAACAAACACGCACCUCCCCCAUGCUGUGCAGCUGCAGGGCCAGUAUGCGUAGGUGAUCCUGGCUGACCAGCGGGUUGAUGUUCUCCUGGACGUCGCUGACAAACUGUUGCCAUGACGUCAGCUGGUUGGGUCCACUCAGCUUCCUCCAGGUCGGCAGGAUGGUCAGCAAACGCUCCGACAGCAGCGUCAUGGGACUACACCUCUGCAGAGAUGAAGGAGGGGGCAGUAAAUACGUGGAGUCUCUCCAUGUUACCAUUUCUUAAGAUAUUGACUGACAAAUGAAGGAGAAAAAUAUUCCAGAAAAAGUCUCAUAUUUUAUGACGU